rnacentral:lncRNA from 1 species
GUAGCCCCUAUGUCUCCUCCAUUCUCCCCUUGACCUUCAUCUCUAUGGAUAUCUCCAAAAGAAGUGGGGAUAGAAAUAGGAGUGGGAAUAGGAAUAGGAAAGCUCUCUUCCAUCAUACUAUAAGUCUACCCCUGAAGAGAGUUUCCACAAUGUACAAAUGAUUCAUUUUCAAAGAAUGUAACAUCCUUAGUAACAAACCUACGCUCAGUAGUAGGAUCAAGACAUUUAUAACCUUUCUGAGUAGGAGACUACCCA